UUAAUCGAAUUUGGAUUAGUUCAUGAUCGGAGAUGAUUUGUGUGAGUUUAUUCGGAAGAAAAUAUUGAUGGUCACACUAGAUCAUACCCAUUUUUGGUAAACUAUUAUUAUAAGUCUCCUCACGACCCCGAAUCCUUCCACUGCUACAAAGACUUGGACAACCGGCCAUCCUCCUGCUGCCGCCGCUACCGUCACCUCCACGCUUUGUCGACAGGGUUUGACUAUACAGGUACUGUGGAUGUCAAAUUAUGCAGUUCCAGUCAUUUGGUCUUUGCCUGAAUUUUCUCCUAUCUACAUUUGAAACUGAGCAAUUUUUCUUUUAGUUGUGUUGCUCGCUUGUGGAAAGUUUGUACUUGAACUCCAAGGGGUUGGCCAAUUGGUCUUGGCCUGGAAAACUUAGGGGUUUGCUUGCUCUCUCCUAUGGUCUCAAGUAGUUCAAUUCCCACGCGUAAGCAUAUGAAACGAACAAAGGGCUGAAUAGUGUUCUCAAGUCAUUGUUGGUAGAAUAGAAAGGCUCCCCAUGUCUGCUAGAAUGGUGUUCUAAUUGUUGGGUUUUGUUACAGAAAUUGAAGAAAUUGGUAUGCAACAUACAUAUGGGAUAGCAAAAACUCAAAUAGUUGCUAAGUUGGUGCUUCAGCUUUCUGUUUAAACAAAUCGGAGGAUAAUUUAGACAUUUUACUGGAGCCUUUCUGGAACUUCAUUUUGCUUGGUAGUUGGUACCCUUCUAGAUGACUGUUUCAUUAGUGUUAAAAGCCCAUCUUCAAUAAUAGGGAUACGGGAUUUUUAUUUCUUCCCUCUCUAAACUACUAGCAGGUGAAUCCUUUCACUUGCUCAAGUUACUUACUCAUAUAGGUUUCAGGAGGUUUUUCCAUACAUAUGACUUACACGUAAAUGAGCAAAUGGUAUGAUAAACUUUUGGAAUGGCCACAAUUAGCGCUCUAUACAAUCAACAGUGGUUGCUUAUGGGAGUGGUUGGUCUUCGUUAUAUUGGUUGAAUGAGUUUAUGAAGUGUGAACAUGUGAUGUCAGUUAAAAAAAAAACAACCUUGGGAGGUUUGUGAUGUCAGUUACAUGACUUUCCCUUCUCCACAACAGGGACACCUAGAAAAACAACCCUGCAAAAUUGCAUAACAUAAUGGUUAACUUUUAUUACAGGAGCCAUGGAUUCUAUACCACUUAAACAUCAAUUGUAUGCUGAAAUCCCUACAUAAUGACUGAGUAGUAUUAUUAAUUGCAAUUGAUAACAAAUCUAAUUAUUACUUGGAAAGGAGAGAGAUGUACUUGUUGAGAGUGAGAGAAGUGGGCGUUGAGGGACGGCGGCGGGAGUAAGAGGAUAGAGAAAGGUGGGGUUAGGUUCUUCAGGUUGACAAGCGGCGUUGAGGAGCCUCGUGUCUUCAAGAUGAAAGGUUUAAACUUUUCCGUGCCUUCAAGAUGCGAUUGGCUUCAUGGAAUGGCGCUGUCUUACAUACCUCAGACCUCGCGAGGUUGUAUUUUUGUUUUGGAACUGACAUCGCAUGUUCAAGGUGCGAUGUCUUGUUCGCACAAAACAGACAUCUCUUCUCGACGAUUAAUUGGCUAUUAUUGAAUUUAUUUUAUAAUUUGGAUGGUUUACAUUAUAGAUAGAUAUCAUUAUAAACAAUAACCGUACCAAAAACCAUGCUAAUAGAAUAUCGGUCCUGCAAACUUCCUCCUACCAAUAAUUCCAAACAAAUUUGGAUAGCGAUACAUAUCUCAAGAAUAUUAAUACACUUUCACAAAUUCGGUUCAUGUUUUCUGCUUUUUCCAUUUCAUUUGGUUUUAAAGGCAGGAAAUGAUUUUUCCCUUGCAUUUCAGCUGAGAAUAGGCAAAGGCAUAUCUUAUGCAGCAGUUGAUACUCAUGCGGUUAAGAGUGGCAGACGGACAUUGGCUGCUAUGUUCAUUUCAUUGAACAUGAACCACAUUCUUCCCAGCAGUUUCCUCUACUGUUAAGCAUUGGAGAAGAAGAUAAUGCUCUGACAAAGCAACUGAAAGUGGUGACACUGACCUUGUUUAUCUUGUUCUGUUUCAUAUAUGGCAGAAGAGGCCAGCUUUGGAGUUAUUUGAAACGAUACAGGCUAGACCACUAGCACACGACUUGUUUAUAUGUUAUGCAUGGGGCCCGCUGUAAGUCCAGUUUUUUGCAAACGUGAUGGGAGAGUAGCAGCCGAUUACUAUGCGAUAGUCAUAGCCAGUCGAUACAACAACUGAUAGUGGUACUAUAAUAUUCUUUCUUUACUAUGCCAUGGCCGUAUGUCUAUCCCAAACUUGUGGGACCAACUCUGGGUUACGACUUUCCGUCUUCAGUGAUUUAUUACAUGAAGUUUCCUAGGGCACCUCCCAGCAGCUUCGAUAACCUUCCACACAAAUGCAAGUUUGAGUCUCCUCAACCCCUUGUAGAAUGAGUGACAUAAAAGUUUUCUGGAUCAAUGAAGACUCAAAAAAUAUGAUUUUGGAAUUUCUGGCUCAGUAGGCCUGCAGUUUCACUGAUUCCGAGAUUUCUUUUUUGGUCAAAAUUUGAUUCGGAGCUUGUUAGAUGAUUUUCCAACAAAAAACAUGAUUCGGUCAAAAAUGCCUAGAAAAUGAUUAGUUUUGGUUGAACUAAUAGUUUAAUAGUUAUGUGAUGUUUUGGGAGGAAGCUAUGGUACACAGAGUAUACCGUAUGCCUAAAUUAUGACAAUUUGUGAUUUUCAUUAUGCCAAUUUUUGGUUUUCUAAUGCAUAUUUAUGAUUCUAGUUACGACUUGUACAUUAAAAUUUACCUGUUGAACAGGUCAUUAGCAGGUUACUCAUAAUUAAAAAAUAUUGUUAUUAUGUAACCAUAAUUAUUCGUACCGAAAUCCAUAAUACUUGUACCCUAACCAAAUAUAUGCGUACAAUAUAUACUUGUACCGUUCCAUUCAUUUGGAUGUAAGGGUAGAUUUCAGGAUUGCAGCUUCAUGCCUUCAUCUUCUUAGCUUUUCCGUUUUCCCUUUAUCGUCGUGAAAAUUUGUUCUGGAACUCAUUGCUUGACUAUUUUGAAAUGCAGAUUGGUGGCAGUGUAGUUCAAAACUUGGCAUGUAGUAGUAUUUUGGGAAUGCUGUGGGUGGUUUUUCUAGCAUUAGUGUGUCGAAAGAACUCCUGGAGCUUGUCUUAGAAGAGAAUUCACCUCAAGAAGUUGUACAAUUGCAUGUAUCGGCGUAGUGUGUUCUUAUGUCCUAAAUUGACCUCUAUAAUACUUGCUUUGAAUUUUUUCUAGUUUAAAUCUCUGAGCAUUUUCCCCUCCUUCAUGGGCUCUCUCCUGUUGUAAUCUUACCAAAUUAUUCUGAAAUAAGUUGUCACAUAUUGGACC